CGAAAGAGUGGGGAGGAGGCAGGAUUAAAUACCUUGGGAUUCAUACCUAAAAGAUGAUUUUUAGUUUUGUUGGGGAGCAAGCUCCUUCGUUGUCGGCGCAAACGCCAUAAGUAAUCCACUUGGGGAGGACGUUCGCAAGAAUAAAACUCAAAGAAAAAGACAGGGACCCGCACCCCCGGUGGGGCAUGUGGUUUAAUUUGAAGCAACGCGAAGAACCUUACCUGGUCUUGACAUCCCGAUGACGAGUGAGCAAAGUCACUUUCCCUUCUGGGCACCGGAGACAGGUGGGGCAUGGUUGUCGUCAGCUCGUGUCGUGAGAUGUUGGGUUAAGUCCCGCAACGAGCGCAACCCCUACUUUCAUUAGCCAGCAGGUAGAGGUGGGCACUCUGGAGAGACUGCCCGGGAUAACCGGGAGGAAGGCGGGGGGGAGGUCAAAUCAUCAUGCCCCCUAUGAUCAGGGGGACGCACGUGCUACAAUGGCGUAAACAAAGGGAAGGGAGACGGGGACGUGGAGCAAAUCCCAAAAAAAAAGUCCCAGUUCGGAUUGUAGUUUGCAACUCGACUACAUGAAGCUGGAAUCGCUAGUAAUCGCGAAUCAGAAAGUCGCGGCGAAUACGUUACCGGGUCUUGUACACACCCCCCGUCAAG
rnacentral:rRNA from 1 species